rnacentral:piRNA from 1 species
AUCCCCGGAUGAGGACGACAAUG